ACGGAAGGCAGCAGUGGGGAAUAUUGCACAAUGGGGGAAACCCUGAUGCAGCGACGCCGCGUGAGCGAAGAAGUAUUUCGGUAUGUAAAGCUCUAUCAGCAGGGAAGAAAAUGACGGUACCUGACUAAGAAGCUCCGGCUAAAUACGUGCCAGCAGCCGCGGUAAUACGUAUGGAGCAAGCGUUAUCCGGAUUUACUGGGUGUAAAGGGAGCGUAGACGGGACAGCAAGUCUGAUGUGAAAGGCGGGGGCUCAACCCCUGGACUGCAUUGGAAACUGUUGACCUUGAGUGCCGGAGAGGUAAGCGGAAUUCCUAGUGUAGCGGUGAAAUGCGUAGAUAUUAGGAGGAACACCAGUGGCGAAGGCGGCUUACUGGACGGUAACUGACGUUGAGGCUCGAAAGCGUGGGGAGCGAACAGGAUUAGAUACCCUGGUA
rnacentral:rRNA from 1 species